AACGGAAAGGCCCUUCGGGGUACUCGAGUGGCGAACGGGUGAGUAACACGUGGGUGAUCUGCCCUGCACUUUGGGAUAAGCCUGGGAAACUGGGUCUAAUACCGAAUAUACCCUGCUGGUCGCAUGGCCUGGUGGGGGAAAGCUUUUGCGGUGUGGGAUGGGCCCGCGGCCUAUCAGCUUGUUGGUGGGGUGAUGGCCUACCAAGGCGACGACGGGUAGCCGGCCUGAGAGGGUGACCGGCCACACUGGGACUGAGAUACGGCCCAGACUCCUACGGGAGGCAGCAGUGGGGAAUAUUGCACAAUGGGCGCAAGCCUGAUGCAGCGACGCCGCGUGAGGGACGACGGCCUUCGGGUUGUAAACCUCUUUCAGCACAGACGAAGCGCAAGUGACGGUAUGUGCAGAAGAAGGACCG
rnacentral:rRNA from 1 species